UACGUAGGGCGCAAGCGUUGUCCGGAAUUAUUGGGCGUAAAGAGCUCGUAGGCGGCUUGUCACGUCGGAUGUGAAAGCCCGAGGCUUAACCUCGGGUCUGCAUUCGAUACGGGCUAGCUAGAGUGUGGUAGGGGAGAUCGGAAUUCCUGGUGUAGCGGUGAAAUGCGCAGAUAUCAGGAGGAACACCGGUGGCGAGGGCGGAUCUCUGGGCCAUUACUGACGCUGAGGAGCGAAAGCGUGGGGAGCGAACAGG
rnacentral:rRNA from 1 species